AUGCCUGUAGCGAAUGCGAAUAGCAAUGGAUCUAAUACACACAUUCAGACUUCGGGCGGUAAGGUCCGGGGUCAAAAGGAGAACAGUCCAGAGGCGGGGCUAAGGAACUUAAUUAAUAUAACUAA
rnacentral:rRNA from 1 species